UACGUAGGCAGCGAGCGUUGUUCGGAAUUACUGGGCGUAAAGAGUGUGUAGGCGGUGCUCUAAGUUCGGUGUGAAAUCUCCUGGCUUAACUGGGAGGGUGCGCCGAAAACUGGAGUGCUCGAGCGUGGGAGAGGAAAGCGGAAUUCCUGGUGUAGCGGUGAAAUGCGUAGAUAUCAGGAGGAACACCUGCGGUGUAGACGGCUUUCUGGACCGGUACUGACACUCAACUACGAAAGCGUGGGGAGCAAACAGG
rnacentral:rRNA from 1 species